rnacentral:lncRNA from 1 species
CGACAGUUUGGAGAAAGUUAGAGACUCCAGCAGUGACAGUAUGCAUGGACACUUAUUUUGGGACUGGACUGGUAAAGUUUUAUAAAAAACUCAGAUGAACACAAGCUUAUGUUGGUUCUCUGGAGGCUGAUGUAAUGCAUGCUGGGAAAUGUAGGAAAUCACUUAUAGAAAUAGAAGCUGUUAUUAGAAGAAACAUCUGGAGGUGGCACAGAGACAAGGUUGAAACCACUGAUCCCUUGGGGGCGCCACUGUGCUUCUGUGCAGCCUGAGAGGACACUGCUCCGGAGGCGGGCAAAUCUGGACACUAUGACGUUGACCAUCUGCAUCAGACUAAGCUUCUCACGGUGCAGCUGCUCACUGUCCGCGAUUUCUGUCAUCCUACAAUGUUCUCUAAAGAGUUGAAAUCCUCUCCUUUUGUUAUCUUUUUAUUCCCUUACAUUUAGAAUGACGUAACUUUGGUACCUCAAGCCCUGAACGCUGUCGGUUUGACCAACUAAUCAAGUAUCACAUGUAUAUCAUUAGCAGAUAAAUGAUGUGUGACAGGCGGUGAUGUUCGUCAGGUGUACAGAAUCAAGGGUUUAUUUGUACCUGUGCCCUCACAAUCCAAAUAAAACUGACAAGAAAUGGAGUGAAACACUGAUACCUAUAGCACCUGCUGUGUUUUC